UUUUGGAAGAGAUGAUAGAUUUAUGAAGCUUAGGAGUUAAGAAAGGACUCAUUCAAAAAACCCCGAGAAGUUUUAAUGACCAAAGUACCGAGUUGGAGAAACAUAGAAAUUGAGGUCAAUGGAGAAGCUGGUGGUCUACAUUAUAUAAGCUCUUGCAAACAUGAUGGAUGCUUUGGUUUUUCCAGAGGAAAGCCUAUGGGAAAGCAGUGGAGCCAUUUUGUGUUUUGGAAUGCCCUUCCCACCUGAUCUGUGGAGAUGGAUACAGAGGUACUGGGCACUGAUGAAAGGGCUGUUUUCAAGAGCUCGUGAAUAGGUAGAAUGGACAGGUUCUGUUAGCUGGUUUGAAGACUGAGGGAAAAGAGGAAACAAGGCUCAUUCUUGUGUUUCCACAUGAUGGAGUGAGUGGUGGCAGCCUCAUUUCUCGAUAUAAGCAAUAAUGGAAAAGGGGCCAGUGUCUGUUUAGGAUUUGGAUUUAAGGAGCUCUCAGAAGGUAAACAUUUUCUAGUUCCUGAAAUCGUCAACAUCAUCUUUAUAGACAAGUCCAGUUUAGGUACCAAAGCCUAAUUUUCCUUUAUGAUUUUGGAAACAGCCUCUUGCGCCAAGAUACAACCAAUUAUCACCAAAGCCACAAAGUAGUUUGGCAAGAAUUAGCCAACAAAUGAAUGAGAAUGUUUCAGAAACUAACACGCAGGAAAAUGCAUUUCCCCUUUGUAUUUGGGAAGUAACAACUGGAUCCACAACUUACUUAUUAAUAGGAUGAAAGACGCCAAACACUUUCUCAGGUUGCAGAACUAUUUGCAGCCUUUUGUGUUAUGCAGAUUAAUCUCAGUCUCUUGGAGGCCACCUAAAAUCCAAUAACCAGAGUGGGAUUAAGGAGAGUAGAGAUGAGAAAUAUAUCCCCACAUGUCUCUGGUAUACCUUUACACACUGAACAAUAUUCAGUGUAAGAUUUAUUAAAUAUGAUUGAAUGACAGUUGAUAUGAAUGCCAUUGGGGAAUGAUUGAUAGGUAAUUGUUGUGUGACAAAACUUUUCCUGGGGAACACAAUACACAUGUCUACUCACCCCAGAUAGGGAGCCCACAGCAGACCAAAGUAAGAUAUCACCAAAGUCCAACUUGGUGAACCAGUGAGUUUUAUUGGGGUCACUUACAGGAAUAUGGGUGAGGGGUUACUUACAGGAAUAUGGGUGAGGGGUUACUUACAGGAAUAUGGGUGAGGGGUUACUUACAGGAGCAGAUAUGAUUCAAAGACAGCUGCAUCAUGGGUGACAGCUCACAAAGCUGGGGACCUGGAGCACACUGCACAGCCUACAGGUAGCUCAAUAGGUUGGAGAGUGUCCCUUUCAGGUGCCUCAGUUGGUCUGGGCCUCUUCCAGGCAGCUGAGAGUCUUCACUGCAGUUCAAGUUCUUAAGGCCAGAGAGGGGCUCUCAGCUUUUAUUGCUUACUCUAUCAGGGAGGGGCCUGUUGAGUCCGGUUAGUUUCAGGGACUUCCUGAAGCCGUUUUGAGUUGUUUACCUCCCUGUAAUAAUAAGGCAACUACAGCAAUGAAAAUUGGUAUGUGGGCUAGCCAGAUGGCUUAUGAGGGAAAGGCACUUGCUACUGGCCUUGAUGACCUGAGUUUCAUCCCUGGGAACUAUACAGUGCAGGGAGAGAACUGGCUCCAGCAGGUUGUACUCUGAGGUCCAUACUCAUACACAUACAGUAAGCAUGAAAAAUUUUGAAGGUAAAUGAUAUGACUUGUUACAUACUUUGUACCGAGAGCUUCCCGCAGGAUGGAACGCUUUAAUCUCAGAGGAAACGUCUACACAACAGCAAUUGACAUUUAUAUCAUCCCAGUGUAACCAUAUGUCUUUCUGGUUUCAAGGGGAAACUUAGAAUGGCUUUUUGAAGAGAGCAGGCCACUACUGCAACCCAGCAGUCAGCUGUUGUACCUGUCAAUCAGCUGGAAGUGUGUCCUGACGUGACUGAGUGCUAAGAAAUGAUUUCACCCAGGAUAAAUUCUAGACAAAAAUAUGUUUGUAGACAGGAAUGGAAUUUCUGAAUCAUUUGGAAAUUCUAUGCGGAAAAUUUUGAGGAAUUAUCAAACAAUUUUGGAACAGUAUUUUUGAAACUAUUGUUUUCUAUAUUGACAGCAUACCCACUAGCAAUGUAUGAGUAAAAAAAAAGCCCUUUCUCAUCAGGCUGCGUCUGGAAAAGAGAAGAAAUAAUAUACUAAGGGAGAAACACAGGAUAAGGUAAAUGAUAUAUAUGUAAAAAAAACAAACCCAAAACUUUCUUUUUGAGCAUGAA